UAAGGUAAAAUAGAAUGAAAUUCAAAACAGUGUGGCUGCGGCCAUUGAUUGACACAUUAAAUUCAUCCAUUGACUGGGACAAUUUACGUGAACGUUUGUCUGUAACGACCACUGUUCACGACGUACCUACGAUAGACAUUUAAACUGUGGGGUCACCAAAGGUUUCUUAACGCCUUUAAUUAUAAAAUAAUUCGAAAAAUUAAUCAGGAAUAACCUUUAUGUUUUGAUUUAUAUAAUUGAUAUAAAUAAA
rnacentral:lncRNA from 1 species